rnacentral:lncRNA from 1 species
CAUGGGAAGGCUACAAUUUUGAAGAUGCAGUGCUCAUUACUAAGCAUUUAUAAUUAAAAUUCACUUUAAUACACAAAGCACCAGAAUUAGGACCAAUUCAAAAAUCUAAACACUGCAUGGUCAUCUCAAAGAGUGCUUUGUAUUCAGUACGGAGUUGGAAUCUUAGGUCAAAUUGGCCAUUAAAAAUUCUCGAUCCUAAAAUUGUAUUGAAUAGUCAAACGUCAAUUCUUCCAAGAAUAUCGCAAUCCCAGUUGAGAAUGCAUAAGAAUCAUAAAUAUUGGCAAUACAGUCUAAUUUAUUGGGCGCAGUCCAUAAAAAUUUUCCAGACACAUCUUGCGAUUCUUACCCACAAAAACGCAGAAAAAUGACCUAAAGAAACAAUUCGAGCCCAGAAUAGAUUGAAGACUCCAAUACUGAAAGAUUAAACAGGUGAAUCUCACUACUACAUCAUAGACCUUUCCAAGAAAUAAUAUAGAUCCUAUCACAUUCAGCUCAAAUAACAAUGCAAACACCAUAAAUUUUUUGGAGACAANNNNN